rnacentral:tRNA from 1 species
GGUAGAGUGGCCGAAGGCCUAGGCGGCGGAUUGUAGCUCCGACCACGGGGGUUUAAGUCCUCCCUCUUCCA